rnacentral:rRNA from 1 species
AGAGUUUGAUCAUGGCUCAGAACGAACGCUGGCGGCGCGCUUAACACAUGCAAGUCGAGCGGCUCCUUUCGGGGGGCAGCGGCGGACGGGUGAGUAACGCGUGGGAACCUGCCCUGGAGCUCGGGAUAACGGCGGGAAACUGCUGCUAACACCGGAUACGCCCCGCGAGGGGGAAAGCUUGCACUCUGGGAUGGGCCCGCGUCCGAUUAGCUUGUUGGUGGGGUAACGGCCUACCAAGGCUGCGAUCGGUAGCCGGUCUGAGAGGAUGAUCGGCCACACUGGGACUGAGACACGGCCCAGACUCCUACGGGAGGCAGCAGUGGGGAAUCUUGGACAAUGGGGGCAACCCUGAUCCAGCGACGCCGCGUGGGUGAUGAAGGCCUUCGGGUUGUAAAGCCCUUUUCCCAGGGACGAUGAUGACGGUACCUGGGGAAUAAGCACCGGCUAACUCCGUGCCAGCAGCCGCGGUAAUAC